rnacentral:rRNA from 1 species
UGGGGAAUUUUGCACAAUGGGGGAAACCCUGAUGCAGCGACGCCGCGUGAUUUAGAAGGCCUUCGGGUUGUAAAAAUCUUUUCUAUGGGAAGAAAAUGACAGUACCAUAGGAAUAAGGACCGGCUAAUUACGUGCCAGCAGCUGCGGUAAUACGUAAGGUCCGAGCGUUGUCCGGAAUCAUUGGGCGUAAAGGGUACGUAGGCGGGUAAGCAAGUUAGAAGUGAAAUCCUAUAGCUUAACUAUAGUAAGCUUUUAAAACUGCUCAUCUUGAGGUAUGGAAGGGAGAGUGGAAUUCCUAGUGUAGCGGUGAAAUGCGCAGAUAUUAGGAGGAAUACCGGUGGCGAAGGCGACUUUCUGGCCAUAACCUGACGCUGAGGUACGAAAGCGUGGGUAGCAAACAGG